UACGUAGGGUGCGAGCGUUGUCCGGAAUUACUGGGCGUAAAGAGCUCGUAGGUGGUUUGUCGCGUUGUUCGUGAAAACUCACAGCUUAACUGUGGGCGUGCGGGCGAUACGGGCAGACUGGAGUACUGCAGGGGAGACUGGAAUUCCUGGUGUAGCGGUGGAAUGCGCAGAUAUCAGGAGGAACCCCGGUGGCGAAGGCGGGUCUCUGGGCCGAUACUGACGCUGAGGAGCGAAAGCGUGGGGAGCGAACAGG
rnacentral:rRNA from 1 species